ACUACUCGUAAGGGAGGUGAUCCAGCAGCGGGGCGUGAGCGUCGAGGCGGCGC
rnacentral:SRP_RNA from 1 species